rnacentral:rRNA from 1 species
GCACCCGCGGUAAUUCCAGCACCAAUAGCGUAUAUUAAUGCUGCUGCUGUUAAAAAGCUCGUAGUUGGAUCAAUAGUUGGACAGUGCACGGCGGCCUUGCUUGUUAGUCUGGCUCCGGUCAGGCUAGCGGCGGCGGAACAACCCCGUGCGCCAAACUGUCCACGCUAACAGGCCGAAGCGGUUCCCUGUGAGUAGGCUCCUUCAUUGGGGCUGAAAGCGCCUACGCAUCAACCAUAUGCAUACGGGACGUCGGCCAAUGUUACUGUGAACAAACCAGCGUGUCCAAAGCAGGCUCUCGCCUGAAUGUUCGAGCAUGGAAUAACAAGGGAUCGGUUCUCUCGGUUCGUUUGUUGGUUUUUAACCCGAGAAGAAGUACAGGGUGUUUGGAAAUAAAGUUUUCAAUUAUCAACUGUCCACGGGAAAUAGCAAAAAUAAACUUUUUUAUUUUCAAAAAAAUAUGCCUUUCAUUUCCGUUUGGGAAUCGUGAAAAACAACGUGAAUUUAAAGGAUUUCAACGGAAUUUGACUUUUUUGUUUUCAAAAAAGUUUAUUUUUCCAUUUGCAGCCGAAGGCAAAAAUAAACAAAAACUUUAUUUCCAAACGCCCUGUAUUCAGGCCACGGUGUCUGAGUUGAGUUUCCCUGGCUCUCGGGUCAGGCCUCAACUAGGCCGUGUCCUUACGGGAUCAAUAGGGACUGACGGGGUCGUACCUACUUCCGCGUCAUAGGUGAAAUUCUUAGAUCGCGGGAAGACGAACUUCUGCGAAAGCAUUCGACAAGAAUGUCUUCAUUAAUCAAGAACGAGAGUGUGGGGAUCGAAGAUGAUCAGAUACCGUCGUAGUCCACUACUGUAAACAAUGCCGUCUCAGGAUUGAGAAGCGAACGUAAUGACUUUCACAGCACUAACCCCUGAAUCGAGCAAUCAAAGAUUAUGGGUUCAGGGGGGAGUACAUUCGCAAGGCUGAAACUUAAAGGAAUUGACGGAAUGACACCACAAGGCGUGGAGUAUGCGGCUUAAUUUGACUCAACACGGGGGAUUUUACUAGGUCGGGACAAUGUAAGGAUUGACAGAUUGAGAGCUUUUUGUCGAUCCAUUGUGUGGUGGUGCAUGGCCGCUCCUGGUUGGUGGAGUGAUUUGUCUGGUUGAUUCCGUUAACGAACGAGAUCUCGACCCUUAAAUAGGUCUCUCGUCGAUUGUAGUAUUGCCUGCACCAGCUCGCUGGAUGUCAGCGGGACGAGACUUGGAGAAAACUUCUUAAGGGGACUGUGUGCGUAUAUAGCACGCGGAAGAGCGAGCCAAUAGCAGGUCUGUGAUGCUCCUAAAUGUCCUAGGCUGCACGCGCACUACACUGAUGCAAUAAACGAGUCUGAGCGCCUCCCGGCAACCUACCUGGAAGCGGGUGGGGAAUCUUUUGAACUUGCAUCGUGAUGAG